UNUGACUUGAGUGCAGAAGGGGAGAGUGGAAUUCCAUGUGUAGCGGUGAAAUGCGUAGAUAUAUGGAGGANCACCAGUGGCGAAAGCGGCUCUCUGGUCUGUCACUGACGCUGAGGCUCGAAAGCGUGGGUAGCGAACAGGAUUAGAUACCCUGGUAGUCCACGCCGUAAACGAUGAGUGCUAGGUGUUAGGCCCUUUCCGGGGCUUAGUGCCGGAGCUAACGCAAUAAGCACUCCGCCUGGGGAGUACGACCGCAAGGUUGAAACUCAAAGGAAUUGACGGGGGCCCGCACAAGCGGUGGAGCAUGUGGUUUAAUUCGAAGCAACGCGAAGAACCUUACCAGGUCUUGACAUCCCGAUGCUAUUCUUAGAGAUAGGAAGUUACUUCGGUACAUCGGAGACAGGUGGUGCAUGGUUGUCGUCAGCUCGUGUCGUGAGAUGUUGGGUUAAGUCCCGCAACGAGCGCAACCCUUAUCGUUAGUUGCCAUCAUUAAGUUGGGCACUCUAGCGAGACUGCCGGUAAUAAACCGGAGGAAGGUGGGGAUGACGUCAAAUCAUCAUGCCCCUUAUGACCUGGGCUACACACGUGCUACAAUGGUCGGUACAACGAGUUGCGAGCCGGUGACGGCAAGCUAAUCUCUGAAAGCCGAUCUCAGUUCGGAUUGGAGGCUGCAACUCGCCUCCAUGAAGUCGGAAUCGCUAGUAAUCGCGGAUCAGCACGCCGCGGUGAAUACGUUCCCGGGCCUUGUACACACCGCCCGUCACACCACGAGAGUUUGUAACACCCGAAGUCGGUGAGGU
rnacentral:rRNA from 1 species